rnacentral:rRNA from 1 species
UUCGGUGUAGCAAUACAUCGGGCGGGCGCGUGGCGAACGGGUGCGUAACACGUGGAUAACCUUCCUUCAGGUGGGGAAUAACCCAGCGAAAGUUGGGCUAAUACCGCAUCACAUUACGAGGGCACAUGCUCUUGUAUUCAAAGCCGCAAGGCGCCAGAAGAGGGAUCCGCGGCCGAUUAGCUAGUUGGCGAGGUAAUGGCUCACCAAGGCAAUGAUCGGUAGCCGGACUGAGAGGUUGGCCGGCCACACUGGAACUGAGACACGGUCCAGACUCCUACGGGAGGCAGCAGUGGGGAAUCUUGCGCAAUGGGCGAAAGCCUGACGCAGCAACGCCGCGUGGGGGAUGAAGCUUCUCGGAGUGUAAACCCCUUUCGACCCGGAAGAAUGUCCGCAAGGACUUGACGGUACGGGUAUAAGAAGCCCCGGCUAACUACGUGCCAGCAGCCGCGGUAAUACGUAGGGGGCCAGCGUUGCUCGGAAUUACUGGGCGUAAAGGGUCCGUAGGCGGUGUGGUAAGUCGGAAGUGAAAUCUCUGAGCUUAACUCAGAGGCUGCUUUCGAAACUGCCGUGCUAGAGUGUGAGAUAGGCGAGUGGAAUUGCGGGUGUAGCGGUGAAAUGCGUAGAUAUCCGCAGGAACAUCCGAGGCGAAAGCGGCUCGCUGGAUCACAACUGACGCUGAGGGACGAAAGCUAGGGGAGCAAACAGGAUUAGAUACCCUGGUAGUCCUAGCCCUAAACCAUCAGGACUUGGGGUUUGCCCUGUACGGGGCAAGUCCCGUAGCUAACGCGUUAAGUCCUGCGCCUGGGGAGUACGGCCGCAAGACUGAAACUC